rnacentral:rRNA from 1 species
CGCCGCGUGAGUGAUGACGGCCUUCGGGUUGUAAAACUCUGUCUUUGGGGACGAUAAUGACGGUACCCAAGGAGGAAGCCACGGCUAACUACGUGCCAGCAGCCGCGGUAAUACGUAGGUGGCAAGCGUUGUCCGGAUUUACUGGGCGUAAAGGGAGCGUAGGUGGAUAUUUAAGUGGGAUGUGAAAUACUCGGGCUUAACCUGGGUGCUGCAUUCCAAACUGGAUAUCUAGAGUGCAGGAGAGGAAAGGAGAAUUCCUAGUGUAGCGGUGAAAUGCGUAGAGAUUAGGAAGAAUACCAGUGGCGAAGGCGCCUUUCUGGACUGUAACUGACACUGAGGCUCGAAAGCGUGGGGAGCAAACAGGAUUAGAUACCCUGGUAGUCAAAG